UAUCGAAGAGGUGACAUAAUCAAAGGCCAGAUUCCGUCGCUUACUCAUGUGACAUCCUUAUCAAUUCAUGUUACACUAUGGGAACCACAUUCCUUUGGAGCUAGUGUAGCAAGUUUCCUUGCACAAUGCAGCAAUAUUAGAUACCUCAGCCUAAAGUUAUGCUACUUAAUUAAGAAGGACACCUCAGAACAGGAUCUCUUAUGUGAUAACUCGUGCCAAUGGAAAUCCCAUGAGUUUUCCUUAGCUCAUCUCCGGGAAGUAGAGUUCAAGAAGUUAGUAGGAACUGAUUGUGAAUUCUGGUUCAUUCAAUCCAUAUUGGCAAGGGAAACAGGAAUUCAAAAGGUAACUAUUAGCUUUGACCCACGCUACUGGCUAAAAGACAACAAAGAUGCUUUUAAACUUGUUACGCCCCUACUAGAGGGUGGGUUGUGGACUACGUGCAAUGAUACUAAUUUAUUGUACAAGUGGAAGAGAUGUUGUCUAUGAGUCAAGACCAGAUAGUAGACAGAUUAUUAUACCGCACUUGUUGCAUAAGUGUUUGCAUCUUAUUAUUGAAAUUUGAAUGUCCUUGGAAAAGUUAUAUAUUUUUUCUUGGAUUAUAGAGUGGGUUGCAUAAAUCACGAGGAGAUUGCAGUUGUCUCUUGUGGAAAUUGUAUUAAUCUCAAUAUUUCUCUUGG